GACAGAGGGUGCAAACGUUGUUCGGAAUUACUGGGCGUAAAGCGCACGUAGGCGGCUUGUUAAGUCAGGGGUGAAAUCCUGGAGCUCAACUCCAGAACUGCCUUUGAUACUGGCGAGCUUGAGUUCGGGAGAGGUGAGUGGAACUGCGAGUGUAGAGGUGAAAUUCGUAGAUAUUCGCAAGAACACCAGUGGCGAAGGCGGCUCACUGGCCCGAUACUGACGCUGAGGCACGAAAGCGUGGGGAGCAAACAGGG
rnacentral:rRNA from 1 species